UACGGAGGGUGCAAGCGUUGUCCGGAUUUAUUGGGUUUAAAGGGUGCGUAGGCGGUUCGUUAAGUCCGGGGUGAAAGCCCACUGCUCAACAGUGGAACUGCCCUGGAAACUGGUGAACUUGAGUACAGACGAGGGUGGCGGAAUGGAUGGUGUAGCGGUGAAAUGCAUAGAUACCAUCCAGAACCCCGAUUGCGAAGGCAGCUGCCUAGACUGUAACUGACGCUGAGGCACGAAAGCGUGGGGAGCGAACAGG
rnacentral:rRNA from 1 species